rnacentral:lncRNA from 7 species
AUUGUUUCCUGAUCAGAGUACACAGCACAGUAGGUGCAAUUAUCACUGGGUUAUUCUAGUUGUACUAAAAAUAUUGGAGAAUCUAUCACUGCACUCGGGCUACUAUAGGAAAGGCGAUGGAUUCUUGGGUAGAAGCGCAGCCAGCAUAGACUCUCAAGGACAUUUGCCUCUUAACACGAUUUGGAGGACCUAACAUUUGCUUCAGUUGUCACACUUGUUCAAUGUAUUCGGAUAGAGUCCCCAGGACAGGACAGGAUGAUGUGGUGGUGGUCCUUAUUUAUUUCAAUUGAUUUUCUGUUGUCUGUACGCUUAGCUCCGCCUCUGCCUCAGAAUCCAGCAUGUAUUAAAAACUAGAAACGUGGUUUGCGGUUUGCUU